rnacentral:rRNA from 1 species
GAUGAACGCUGGCGGCGUGCCUAAUACAUGCAAGUCGAGCGAAUGGAUUAAGAGCUUGCUCUUAUGAAGUUAGCGGCGGACGGGUGAGUAACACGUGGGUAACCUGCCCAUAAGACUGGGAUAACUCCGGGAAACCGGGGCUAAUACCGGAUAACAUUUUGAACCGCAUGGUUCGAAAUUGAAAGGCGGCUUUGGCUGUCACUUAUGGAUGGACCCGCGUCGCAGUAGCUAGUUGGGGAGGUAACGGCUCACCAAGGCAACGAUGGGUAGCCGACCGGGAUGGGUGGUCGGCCACACUGGGACGGAGCCACGGCCCAGAGUCCUACGGGAGGCAGCAGUAGGGAAUCUUCCGCAAUGGGCGAGAGUCUGACGGAGCAACGCCGCGUGAGUGAUGAAGGCUUUCGGGUCGUAAAACUCUGUUGUUAGGGAAGAACAAGUGCUAGUUGAAUAAGCUGGCACCUUGACGGUACCUAACCAGAAAGCCACGGCUAACUACGUGCCAGCCGCCGCAGUAA